rnacentral:rRNA from 1 species
GGUGUUUUGAGCGAAGUGGUCCGACCCGUUCCCAUUCCGAACACGGCAGUCAAACACUUCAGCGCUGACGAUAUUGCCCCCGAGAGGGGGUGAGAAAAUAGGUCAAUGCCAGCA